rnacentral:rRNA from 1 species
UUAACCGGAUUAGAUACCCUGGUAGUCCACGCCCUAAACGAUGUCAACUAGUUGUUGGGGAUUCAUUUCCUUAGUAACGUAGCUAACGCGUGAAGUUGACCGCCUGGGGAGUACGGUCGCAAGAUUAAAACUCAAAGGAAUUGACGGGGACCCGCACAAGCGGUGGAUGAUGUGGAUUAAUUCGAUGCAACGCGAAAAACCUUACCUACCCUUGACAUGCCACUAACGAAGCAGAGAUGCAUUAGGUGCUCGAAAGAGAAAGUGGACACAGGUGCUGCAUGGCUGUCGUCAGCUCGUGUCGUGAGAUGUUGGGUUAAGUCCCGCAACGAGCGCAACCCUUGUCUCUAGUUGCUACGAAAGGGCACUCUAGAGAGACUGCCGGUGACAAACCGGAGGAAGGUGGGGAUGACGUA